UACGUAGGGUGCAAGCGUUAAUCGGAAUUACUGGGCGUAAGCGUGCGCAGGCGGUUUUGUAAGUUUGUCGUGAAAGCCCCGGGCUCAACCUGGGAAUUGCGAUGAAGACUGCAAGGCUUGAAUCUGGCAGAGGGGGGUAGAAUUCCACGGUGUAGCAGUGAAAUGCGUAGAGAUGUGGAGGAACACCGAUGGCGAAGGCAGCCCCCUGGGUCAAGAUUGACGCUCAUGCACGAAAGCGUGGGGAGCAAACAG
rnacentral:rRNA from 1 species